CCUGAACGCUGGCGGCGUGGUUAAGACAUGCAAGUCGCACGGUGUAGCGAAUACACAGUGGCGCAAGGGUGAGUAAUGUAUCGCUAAUGUACCCCGGACUCUGGGAUAGCUACUCGAAAGGGUGGUAAUACCAGAUAAUAUAACUUGGUCGCAUGAUCGAGUUCUCAAAGGUCCGCGGUCUGGGAGCAGGCGAUAUCGUAUCAGCUAGUUGGUGAGGAACGGCUCACCAAGGCGACGACGCGUAGCCGGACUGAGAGGUCGGUCGGCCACACCGGGACUGAGACACUGCCCGGACU
rnacentral:rRNA from 1 species